GGAAACAUGAAGUGCCCAGCCUUGAUUCGUUUCAAAAUUAAACUUACUUUGAAAAGGAAUAGGGAAGUUGAAACAAAUGUUUUCCAUAGGAAACAGAAAGAAGAAGUUGUGAGUAGGAAAAGAGACAAAUGUGAAAGUUUUGCCAGACUUGGUUUGGGAAGAGAAUGUUCUCCAGGGGACCUGAACUCCUCCCUAUGACUAAGCCUCCAGGCUGUGGCGGGAUCUCUCCCCGGGGGCCAUGGGCAAAGUGCAGUUCCCAAGUGUCCCCUCAGAGGCAGCUCUGCUGCCCUCACCCAAGCUGGCCCUGCCAAGGAGAAGGGGUGAGAGGGGGAGCAGCUCUGUAACUGACAGAGGAAAUAUAGUUAUGAAGAUCCUCAGGUCCUGGAAACAAGGCCUCAGUUUUCCUGGAAAAUGAUCAGUUGUUUAUCUCCUUGGAACUUGGAAAGGAUGUCAUGAAUACUAUGUUCUCACCAAGCCCGUGACUGACUCUGCCCUGAAGACUUAACCUCCUGUCCUUGGCAGGAUCAUGUGCCACCAUAUUCUGGGUACAGGAACACUCCUGCUAGGUUUUGUGUCCAGAAUGUAGGUAAAGACUCCACCCACAAGCUGUAGAUCCAAACCCAGAGAACCCAGGAGUGUGUAUUGGAAUGUGAUCUCAAUUGCACUUUACAAUAGAAUUACUUGGAACAAUAUCAGCAUAAACAAGGAGCAGGGAUGAGUGUAGACAGUGUGUUACAAGCCAAGGUUAUGACUGAUUUAAUUUGGUGCACCUGAAGCCAAUAACAAUAAUAAUAAUAUAAAAUAAACCAGUAGCAAGUAUUAGCCUGAUCAUCUAUCGAAGAGACUAAAGCAACCAGUCCCAGAGGUUUGUUUUUUUCUCUUACUCAACUCCAACUGUUAUUAAUAGCUAUUUAACCUAACCUUGAUCUUUAUUCAGACUCAUGGGAGUAAACAAACUUCUGACUUAUGCAAACUCCUGCCUUAGAAUGACAAGUCUUUGAUGCAUAUUUAGUGUUCAAGUUCCAAUAAGUAGGUUUCCAGACAGACUCUUUCUGUGACAAAGGGCUCAUAGAAAGUUCCUAUUAAAUUCUUCCUUUCCUUGUAGGAAAAGUUUGUGUAUCACUAGCUUGUCCAGGAAGCCUUAACAUUGUUCCUUUGACAUGCCUAGGGAGGCCCAGCAUCCUGACCCAUCUCAUACCUUCCAAGACUCAUCAAAACUAGGGACAACCUGGUGCAUUUGAUGGACAGUAAGUGCCCAAAUUCUGGGAGAACUGUUAUUUGGGUUCAGAUCCCAGAUCUGCCACUUACUAACCCUGAGGACUUGGGCAAGACACUUCACUCUUUUUUCUUUCUUUUUUUUUUUUUUUUUUUAGGGGAAGAAAAGUUUAUUAGAGGGCUAUGGUUUCAAAGGUCUUAGUCUGUAGAAGGCCGCCUCCAUUCCUCAGGGCUCAAGUUGAGGCAGAACAUCAUGGCGGAUGAGUGCGACAGAGGGAAGCAGCUCACAUGGUGGUCAAGAAGCAGAGAGAGAAGACUUCACCUUUUUGUAUGAGCAACAUUUUAGCAAUCACAGGAAUGAUGAUUAUGAGGAUCCUACCUAUCAAAGGAGCAAUAAUUGUUCCUCCUUCGCGAUCUGUUGUAAGAAGAAAAAGAGAAAUUGAAUGUACAACAGACAGCUCUGUCUGCACAGAGGAAGCACCCAAUGAAUGUUUAUUGCUGUUCUUUGUCAUAUAAAAACAACCUCUGUUAGACUUUCCUAGAGAGUCAAAGAGUGGGAAAGCCCUUAUCUCUGGCACCUAACCAAUGUGGGUUGGAACACAGUUCUGCUAGUCACUAGCUGCAUAAAUAUUUAGUCUUUUGUUAACUCAUAGAAGUUCUUUUUCUCGUCUGUAACACUGGAAGUGAACAUAAUGUUCCAUCUCAGGGUCAUCAGGAAAAUCUAAAAAGAUAACACAUGUACUUCUUAAUGCCAAGCACAUAAGUGUUCAAUAAAU
rnacentral:lncRNA from 1 species